rnacentral:rRNA from 1 species
GUGGGGAAUCUUGCGCAAUGGGCGAAAGCCUGACGCAGCCAUGCCGCGUGAAUGAUGAAGGUCUUAGGAUUGUAAAAUUCUUUCACCGGGGACGAUAAUGACGGUACCCGGAGAAGAAGCUCCGACUAACUUCGUGCCAGCAGCCGCGGUAAUACGAAGGGGGCUAGCGUUGCUCGGAAUUACUGGGCGUAAAGGGCGCGUAGGCGGACAGCUUAGUCAGAGGUGAAAGCCCAGGGCUCAACCUUGGAAUUGCCUUUGAUACUGGCUGUCUUGAGUUUGGGAGAGGUGAGUGGAACUCCGAGUGUAGAGGUGAAAUUCGCAGAUAUUCGGAGGAACACCAGUGGCGAAGGCGAUUAACUGGACGGGCACUGACGCUGAGGCACGAAAGCGUGGGGAUCAAACAGGAUUAGAAACCCCAGUAGUCC